rnacentral:lncRNA from 1 species
AAGAGCCACCGCUCAGGAAGACGCGCCACAGCUCUUUAGGAAGUUGGGUCGCAGUUGAUGUGAAGCCAUGUCCCCGCUUUACCUUAGAUGGGUUUUAUCAGAUUCUACUUUGGUUUAUAGACCUGUCUGACGAAUCCAUAUUCUGUGACAUAUUUUCCAUUUUUCUGUAGAAUCUUCAUUUGCUUACGAGCCAGCCGUCAGGAGUUUCCACCAAGUUCUGUCCUCAGUCCUCUGGUAUGAGAGUCACAGAUCAGCUGUCUGCCGACCAAAACCAGAAGGGUAUCAGCUCAGCGGCUCCUUCAAGGUGUUCAGUUCCACAGUGUGACCAACAGGCCUCGGUUCUACAGAAAAUGGAGCGUAAAAGGAAACACCUCCCAAAGGAAAACAUAACCAACGAAAACAACAGAGAAAGCACGAAUCUUACAGGAAACCAUGUCUCAUGUAACAAUUCAUCAGCAAAAACAAGUAAACUUGUGAUAUUGGAAGAAGGUGCUGGUGAGGUCGAAACCUACCUCAAUUCCAGGCACCGAAAGGCAUUCACAACUGAUUUCUGCGACAUCAGACACUUGGAUGCUUUGGAGCAAAGCCGGCUGACCGAGAUGCUCAAGCAGGCAGCCACCGUGGUGGUGACUCUGCUGUAUGAGGACGGCUCCACCCAGCUGAGAGCUGGCCAGUUGCUGACUUUGUAGGGCUAGAUCCCAGAAUUGCUGCGUGGCUCAUAGAUCCGACUGAUGCCGCACCCUCUUUUGAAGAUUUAGUGGCAAAGUACCUGGGAAACCCCACCACACUUGCAGUCAACAGCACGGAUGGAAGUUCCUCCAGAAAGACUGUGGUGAGUUGUUAUGGACCUUAAUACAACCCUAAUUUUCCUCUAAGAACUUUUUCUACUUCAUGGAAAGCCCACUAGUGAAAAGAGCAUUUCCAACA